rnacentral:rRNA from 1 species
AUUGAACGCUGGCGGCAGGCCUUACACAUGCAAGUCGAGCGGGGCGCCGGACGGGUACGUAAUGCCAAGGAAUCUGCCUGUUCGUGGGGGAUGACGUCCGGUACCGGGCGCUAAUACCACAUACUCUCACUUGAGGCUAGGUCGGAUUAGCUAGUUGGUGGGGUAAAGGCCUACCAAGGCGACGAUCCGUACCUGGUCUGAGAGGAUGAUCAGUCACACUGGAACUGAGACACGGUCCAGACUCCUACGGGAGGCAGCAGUGGGGAAUAUUGGACAAUGGGAGAAAGCCUGAUCCAGCCAUGCCGCGUGUGUGAAGAAGGUCUUCGGAUUGUAAAGCACUUUAAGUUGGGAGGCGUUAUCAACAGAAUAAGCACCGGCUAACUUCGUGCCAGCAGCCGCGGUAAUUC